rnacentral:rRNA from 1 species
UACGGGGGGAGCAAGCGUUGUUCGGAUUUACUGGGCGUAAAGGGCGCGUAGGCGGCCACCGCAAGUCGACUGUGAAAUCUCCGGGCUUAACCCGGAAAGGUCAGCCGAUACUGCGGGGCUAGAGUGCAGAAGGGGCAACUGGAAUUCUCGGUGUAGCGGUGAAAUGCGUAGAUAUCUGGAGGAACACCGGUGGCGAAGGCGGCAUCCUGGACCGGCAUUGACGCUGAGGCGCGAAAGCAUGGGGAUCAAACAGG